rnacentral:rRNA from 1 species
UACGUAGGGUGCGAGCGUUGUCCGGAAUUAUUGGGCGUAAAGAGCUCGUAGGCGGUUUGUCGCGUCGACUGUGAAAACCCGAGGCUUAACCUCGGGCCUGCAGUCGAUACGGGCAGACUAGAGUUCGGUAGGGGAGACUGGAAUUCCUGGUGUAGCGGUGAAAUGCGCAGAUAUUGGGAGGAACACCAGCGGCGAAGGCGGCACUCUGGGCUGGUACUGACGCUGAGGAGCGAAAGCGUGGGGAGCGAACAGG